UGCAGCCAUUGAUUCACUGGCCGCUCUCUUUUCCCCCCUCACUCUCUACACACUGGCUGCGUGGCGUGUCUGUUUAUAGUUAAACGGUUCGAGCUUACACACGCCUGCUAGAAACAGGACCGACUGCUAUUUCACGCCACACGCAAGCAUUGGAAGCGUUUCCAGGCAAAAUUUUAUAUGAAAAGAUAUAUUAGUAUAUUUCAUUUUGACAUGAAUACAAAUUAAUAAAUGGCAUGUUGAUGUUCGAAAGUCUCGAGUUUAUGACAUAAAUGCAGAUAUACAAAUGUAAUAAAAAAAAAGAUGAUUGAUUUUCAAAUAUUGCACCUGUACAGAAUGCAAUAUACUGUAGUGUAUUUACCGUCAAUACUGCCGACGUCGUCUUUGCUGUAAUCAAAUCAGUAUAUAUUUAUGUGUAACAUGAAGUAUACUGGUUGAGUGCAGUAAAUUAAUGGGAAACAUGCAUGUGUCCAGACAAGGCUAGCAGCAGCAGCGCCGCGUCAGGCACGUUUCUGGUGUGAAAAGAUAGAAAAAUCCACGCAACUGACACGCAACAGAAAUGCCACGCCGGCAGUGUGUAACCGGCCUCACACACGCUUGUUUUCAUGCCGGUUUUCUCUGUAACACAGGUGUUGUUUCGGUUUUAUUACCUUAUUGUAUUUAACAGUGACAUUGUUGUGCUGAGUUGUUGACCUAAACAGUUUCUUGUUUUACAGAUUCUUGUGGUGUGAGGAUGCUGUGGAAGUGCAGCCCUGGAGGGUGCCUGUAAAGACUUGGUUGAUGAAAUGCAGAAGAGAACACCAAACGGACCUCUUGUGAAACAGAAAAUGGAUCAGAUGUUUGUUCUGAGAAGAAAAGAGGUAGUGGAGUCGGAACCUGCCAUAAGCACGAUGGUGAGAUGCUGGCCUGCCCUUUUCACUCAAGAUCAAGUCUUCAUGGAGUGCAGCAGGAUUGUGGGCAAGAACCUCAAGACGGAAUUCUAUGAGAGCAUCGACCGGCACAGUCCUCGUCUCCUCGAGUUAUUUGGAUCCAAGAGAGGGAAUGUUGGACAGACCAAUACUACAGAGCCAACUGAGUGUCAGAGGGCUUCCUAUCAUCCUUGGGGACAACCCCACAGACUUCUUCAAAGCAGGCUUUGAAUCGAUGAUGAUUCUUUUCGUGACCCAGACAUUGGGAUACUUCUUAUUGAGCGUAAAGGUGCUGUGCUCACAUCUUCCCAGCAUCUCAGUCCAGCCUCGUUGAAAAGCAUCAUUGAGGGAGAAGUCGUGAUGGACAGCAUUCAAGAUCUGCCAAUAGCAAUGUGCAUUCUGUUUGGACUCAUGUAUGCACUCGAUCCUUACUACCCCAAGACUAUGAAGCUCACAUUUCAGUUCAUCCAACAGGUAUUGCUCUUGUUAGUUCACACUGACCUAAAGCCAAAGCUACAGACUUUGAAAAAUCAGCUCGCAAUGUAAAGAGAUGUCAAGUCUACUUUAAGAAACUGUUGACUAUUUAUUUUUUUUCUUACCUGUGGGGUAAACCUUAUUUUCUGUAAAACAGGUGGACAAACAGACGCAUAAAACGCAGACACACACCCCGACACAUACAACACCCACACACAACACCCACAAACAACACUGACACACCUAAACACACUUAUAUUUUGUGGGAAGCGUGCUAAAGGAUGUGACUUGUGUGACAAUUUAAACUGAGCGAAGUUGUAGCGGAAAGACAUAGGACAUUGUAUAGAUACAUACAUACAUAUUUCAGUUCUUCAUCAGUCUAUGUAGAUGGAAUUAUAUAUUGUUCUGAUAUGAUAGUAUGUUGGUUCAUGCUCUGGCCUCCCUUCAUUGAGGCAGAUGAAACGGAUCCUUUUUGUGAUUAGCUGUGUUUGGCCAUUUUUAUUAAAAGUAAAAUGCAUUGGAGCAUUUA